UCCCGCAAGGGAUUUGUAGCGUGGCAAACGGGUGAGUAACACGUGGGUGACCUGCCUUCGAGCGGGGGAUAACGUUCCGAAAGGGACGCUAAUACCGCAUAACAUCCUGCUUUUGAAUAAGCGGAGAUCAAAGCCGGGGAUCGCAAGACCUGGCACUUGAAGAGGGGCCCGCGCCUGAUUAGCUAGUUGGUGAGGUAACGGCUCACCAAGGCGACGAUCAGUAGCUGGUCUGAGAGGAUGAUCAGCCACAUUGGGACUGAGACACGGCCCAAACUCCUACGGGAGGCAGCAGUGGGGAAUAUUGGACAAUGGGCGCAAGCCUGAUCCAGCCAUGCCGCGUGAGUGAUGAAGGCCCUAGGG
rnacentral:rRNA from 1 species